UCUCCGUAGGUGAACCUGCGGAGGGAUCAUUACAGAGUUCAUGCCCUACCGGGUAGAUCUCCCACCCUAUGUUAUUAUUACUUUGUUUCUUUGGCGGGCCGUUAGGCUCCGGCCCGACAACCGGCCCCGGCUGGUAAGCGCCCCCCAGAGGACCCAAAACCCUGAAUAUUAGUGUCGUCUGAGUACUAUAUAAUAGUUAAAACUUUCAACAACGGAUCUCUUGGUUCUG
rnacentral:misc_RNA from 1 species